rnacentral:rRNA from 1 species
AUACGUAGGGGGCGAGCGUUGUCCGGAAUGAUUGGGCGUAAAGGGCGCGUAGGCGGCCCGGUAAGUCUGGAGUGAAAGUCCUGUUUUUAAGAUGGGAAUUGCUUUGGAUACUGUCGGGCUUGAGUGCAGGAGAGGUAAGUGGAAUUCCCAGUGUAGCGGUGAACUGCGUAGAGAUUGGGAGGAACUCCAUUGGCGAAGGCGAAUUGCUGGCCUGCCACUGGAGCUGAGGUUGGAGAGUGUGGGGCGUAAACAUGAUUAGUUCUCCGGAUACGCCCCAUUGUACACAAUGAUUUAGCGGAGUAGGGGGUAUCCCCGCCUCCUAUGCUGCAGGCCAAAUAAUCGGCAUUACCCCUGGGGGGUCCGGCAGCAAGGUGGAAACUCAAACGUAUUGACGGGG